CUCCUUUCUGUACCUGUUGACCUCAUCUGGGCUGCAGUUGGUGACUGCUCGAAGGGGUGGGAGGAACAGUAUAAAGUCCUGUCCCCUUCCUGCCUUCAAGGGCACCCCUGAAGGACCAUAUCCACUGUGGACCCCCUUGGGAUCAGCCGAGGUAGAGAGCAGUGAGGAAGGGGACUCAGCCUCCAUGCCUCCCGCCAGCCCAGCUGCGCCCGAAUCACCUCCCUCCUGAAAGGAUGUCAGCCUCUGCUUGGACACCGUGGAGACAGGGCCCUCCUUGUGCUUCAGAAGCAUCAACGUGUCAGAAAAUCAUCUUCACGCCAAGUCUGGAAAAAAUGGCUUUGAGGUUGUGCACACAAAGGAAGGAGGGAGAGCCCCAGGUGUCGCGGAGGACCAUGCGGCUGACAGAGCCAGCAGGGCGGUGGCGUGUGAGCCGUGCUCUGGAUAUAUAAGGAUCUGACGCUGCUGGCAAUGUCUGAGCUCUAUGCUCGCCCAUCUGUCGGCUGCUAUCAUCACCGGGUGGGAUUAGCGGAGAUCCACUCUUUCAUAUUUAAAUCUUCACAAGAGAAUGAAUCACUUUUAUAAUAAAAGAAAAAGACCGUC
ensembl:lncRNA LINC00659 long intergenic non-protein coding RNA 659